rnacentral:misc_RNA from 1 species
UCGAUUUUAAUCAUUUUUUCAGUGAAUGACAUAGGCUAUAAUUAUAUUUUAUACCCGUGCGAAGCCGGAGCGGGUCGCUAGUUAUGAAUAAAAACACGAAUAAUCAUUGUACUUAUAGAUAAAAAACUGUGAGGCAGUAUAACGACGUUGUAUAUCUGUGUUUAGUUUGUAUAUCACAAGGCCAAGACAUGCUAUUUAAGUAUUCAUUUUUUUUUUCUUAGUAUGAAUGAGUGUGACGUGUUGAGUAUUUGGUUUUAAUACGACUCAGGUAGUUAGUUACAAUGGCCUCGCAGUGACGACGAUUAUCGACGUCCCUGGGCUCGUGAAAGGCCAGGACUUCAGUCUUCUAAGGCUACCUCUAACCCGAGAGCCCGAAUUCUGGGCACCACCAGCGCGACGCUGCCUCGCAGUCGCACUUAGAGGGGCUAUUUGCGAGGUCCAUUUUUUUAAUACACAAGUUAUUUUGUGAGCGUAAAAGAGAUCAAAUUAAUAAAGCGUCUUUGAUAUAAUCGUAAAAUUGAGGCAUCUUUAAAUGCGAUGCUGUGGGCACGGCCCACCUUUACCCAUGUCUACGCUAUGUCACUGUCAGAAAUAUAUUGCUAGAAGGCAUAUAAAUUAGAGAUAGAAAAAUUACUGGAAUCAGUUGAAAUUCAGAAAUGAUCAAAAUGAAUUUAUCUUCAUAAUAUAUUUUUAUCAAUAACGAUAUUUUUGUAAUAUUGCUACAAGCUUCUAAUGUUGUAUGACUUAUGAAGAAAAUGUUAUAAGAUGUUACAAUAGAUGAUUUCAGAUCUCUAAUUUUCUUUUUUGUAUGCACGACGAUGUUUAUGUAUAUUUCAGUAAAAGCUUCUACGCACUAAACCAAUCGUAUGGUUAAAAAAAUAUAUCAAAUACAACAUCCAGUACAAUAAACUAAUGUUUUUUAUUCAAUCUAUCCUUUUUAAUUUGGUCAUACUUUAACAAAAAUUUGUAAGAAAAAAUUAUCUUUUUAAAACUACAAAUCUAUCUUCU